ACCUACCAAAGGUCUGGGAUAACUCCGGGAAACUGGGGAUAAUACCGGAUAGGUCAAGAGUACUGGAAGGGUUUUUUGAUUGAGAGCUCUGGCGCCUUUGGAUGGGUCUGCGGCUGAUUAGGUUGACGCCGGUGUAAAGUACCGGCGUGCCGAUUAUCAGUACAGGUUGUGGGAGCAAGAGCCCGGAGAUGGAUUCUGAGACAGGAAUCCAGGCCUUACGGGGCGCAGCAGGCGCGAAAAUUCUACAAUGCAGGCAACUGCGAUAGGGGAACAUCGAGUGGCAUCUACAUUAGGUGUCUGUCCAGCUGUCUAAAAAGCGGCUGUUAGCAAGGGCCGGGCAAGACCGGUGCCAGCCGCCGCGGUAAUACCGGCGGCUCGAGUGGUGGCCGAUAUUAUUGAGUCUAAAGGGUCCGUAGCCGGCUUUGCAAGUCUUGUGGGAAAUCCAGCGGCUUAACCGUUGGGCGUCUGCGGGAUACUACAUUGCUUGGGACUGGGAGAGGUAGGAGGUACUCAGGGGGUAGGAGUGAAAUCCUGUAAUCCUCUGGGGACCACCGGUGGCGAAGGGGUCCUACCAGAACAGGUCCGACGGUGAGGGACGAAAGCUAGGGGCACGAACCGGAUUAGAUACCCGGGUAGUCCUAGCCGUAAACGAUGCCCGCUAGGUGUCACGGCAGUCGUGAACUGCCGUGGUGCCGUAGGGAAGCCGUGAAGCGGGGCACUUGGGAAGUACGACCGCAAG
rnacentral:rRNA from 1 species